rnacentral:lncRNA from 1 species
AGACCUCCUGGUCUCCUCAGGAAUGAAGGUCAUUGCCAUCCUCCUCCUCCUCCUCUCGUGAUAUGGAGUCUUGCUCUGUUGCCCAAGCCCGAGUGCAGUGGUGAUCUUGGCUCACUGUAACCUCUGUCUCCUGGGUUCAAACAAUUCUCUGCGUCAGCCUCCUGAGUAGCUGGGAUUGCAGUGGCAGCCCCCACCCACAGCAGCUUCUGGCAGUGUCAGAGGAUGGUCAAACACAUCACGGGGUGGAGUGC